rnacentral:rRNA from 1 species
AUGGCGUUAUUAGAUAUAAAGAAUAUGCUUGAAUCGAUGGGUAAGGACAUAUCAUCAUUCCCUCUCCCAGAAAUUGACAAGUCAUAUGAUGCCUCAGAUAAUGAGGCUAGGGAGAUCAUAGAGGAGUCCACGAUAGAGGUGGACCCAGAACACCUUGGCUUGUCAUCUUUCCUAAACCCAAAACAGAGAUAUGCAUAUGAUGAGAUACUUGCGACCAUCAAUAGUGGCCAAGGAGGUGUGUUCUUUGUUGAUGGACCCGGAGGCACGGGAAAGACUUAUCUGUACAAAGCACUACUUGCAAAAGUACGUGCCGAGGGUAAAAUAGCUGUUGCAACAGCGACAUCAGGCGUUGCUGCAUCCAUCUUGCCUGGAGGGAGGACUGCACACUCAAGGUUUAAAAUACCAUUGAACACCGAAGACGGUGGGGUCUGCAGUUUGACCAAGCAAAGUGGGACAACUAAGCUUCUUAUGAGGGCGUCCCUCAUAAUUUGGGACGAGGCCUCCAUGACAAAGCGGCAGGCGGUCGAGGCCCUUGACAAUAGCAUGAGGGACAUCAUGGCUCGACCUGACCUGCCGUUUGGUGGAAAGACAAUUGUGUUUGGGGGAGACUUCAAACAAGUGCUUCCUGUUGUUCGUAAGGGAACAAGGUCCCAAAUAACUGACGCGACGCUGCGUAAGUCUUACCUUUGA